rnacentral:lncRNA from 1 species
GGCAAAGCCGUUUUAAUAGCAGUAGCAGUUAUACAAUACAUAUUUAAUUAACAUAUAUAAUCAAUCAUCAAUGCCUUUGGAUUAAAAAUGGAAAGGAAGGAUAUAAAAACUAUUUGUCCCGUUGCUUUAUGCAAUUCUCCAAAUGGAAUUACUUACUUUGGAUUCCCUAAGGAUUCUCAUUUUCGUGAUAUAUAGAUACAAGUUUGCAGAAGGAGUGACAAUAUGCUUCAGUUUUCCGAAAUCUGUUCCAGUCAUUUUACUGAUUAAAAUUAUGAGAGAGAUUUGAAGAAUGAAUUGUUGGGAAAGGCUGCUGGGAAAAAACUAAAGAAGGAUGCCAAAGUUUGAAACUGUUCUACUCUGUGGUAGAUGAUGGAGAUCCUAAUCCUCGUGACGAUGAAAGAGAUGAAAGAUUGGCAAAGUGACAGAGGAGACAAAUGCUUCAUCAAGUCAUGAGAGAAGUUGAAACUUUUGGCCAAAGAAGAUUCCAUUUUUGACAAACACAGAGUGUUGAAGUGACACCUGAAAUGGCAACUACUGGAUCCCACACCGUCAAGGAUUCUCAGACUAAGUUGCUGAAAAACAAAAUCAAAGGUUACAGAACCAGGUGCAAUCACUUACAGAAUCCCUCAAUCUGUAUAAGAAGGCAAAUGUAAAAUUCAAGUCAAAGGAGAGUAUUAAACAACUCGUGAGAAAAGAACUCCUUCAAUGGUUCACACCUUCUCAAACAAACAUGCUCAUAGCCAAGGACAAAUCUAAGACACCGUGGGAAAAGGAAGACAUUAUUAAAGGCCUUGCUUUAAAUAGCCUCUCAAGCAGGGCUUAUAAGUACACAAGGGACAAGAAGUUAUUUCCUUUACCGACUGCGACAACACUCAAAAGGUAGAUUAAAGAUUUUGAAACACUUCCUGGAGUAGAAAGAGAUAUCUUAAAAGUGAUUGAAAAACAAGUUGAAGUCAGUAAGGAGCUAAACUAGGAAUAUGGGGUCCUGUGUUUUGAUGAAAUGUCAUUAUCCAAAGAAGUGACUAUUUGUCAAAGAAAUGAGCAAAUAUUUGAUAUCAAAGCAGAGUCUCUGGUACUCCAUUAUCUUACUAAACGAAAACAGCCACCAUUUUAAUAUUACUACAGCCAUAUAAACAAUAGAAUAAGGUCAUUAUGGUUGGAGGUUUGAUUUCAUCCUGGAAACAAGGGAUUUUUUAUGAUUACGCUUGAGCGAUCACCAAAGAUUUAUUGUUCGAAAUUAUUUCCGAGUUAGAAAAAAUAGGGAUCAAAAUAUACGCAAUGGUUUCUGACAUGGGAACAAAAAAUCAAAGAUUGUGGAAACAGUUGGGGAUAACAGUUGAUCAAAGGUCAUUCGUAAAUCCAGCGGAUUCCAGUCGUUCAAUUCACGUUUUUGCAGAUGUUCCUCAUUUAAUCAAGCUAUUAAGAAACCACUUCAUCGAUGAUGGUUUCAAACUAAAAGAUGGCGCAAUCAUAAAACCAGACUCUCUGAAAAUAAUUCUACAAAUUGACAAUAAUGAGUUACGAAUGAAUUAUAAAUUGACCCCUAAGCAUUUCAAUUGCAUGAAAAAUAAAAGACAACGCUGUUUAGGAAGAGCUCUGCUAUGAGUCUUUGUUUAUUAUUUCCCCUUGAAGAAGACUCUCAAAAUGUUGCUAAUUUUGUGGAUUUAAUCCAUUCUUAUGAAUAGUCAUGGUCUUACGAUUCAAAGAAUGACGUUGGAAGCGGAUUUGGAAAAUACCUUGAAAAGCAAAAAAAGGUUCUCGUGGACACCAUAAAGAUCAUUUCAUCCAUGAGACAACUUCCGGUUACGAGCAACAAGAAACCCAAAUUAAAACCUUAUCAAAAAGGAAUUAUCAUAUCAUCCAAGUCUCUUAUGAAUUUGCAUGGUUAUCUUACUUCUCAAAAUACCACAAUUGAAUAUAUUUUGUCUGCUCGAUGUAAUCAAGAUGUCAUUGAAAUUUUUUUUCCCCGUAUCCAAGGAAUUGGUCGAUUUCACCAGCAUCCUAACUCUGUUGAAUUUAUGGAUCGAUUUCGUAUACUAGUUAUAUCCAAUUCAUCACAAUUUGCUGUUUCAACCACCGUUGUUAAAUGUCAAUUAGAAACUGCAUCUCUUCUAUUUUGGAUCAGAUAAAAAGUACCUUUGAUGAAAUUUCUCUGUUAGAUGAACCAAAAGAAAAUAAUUACGAUGAAGAUGAUAUUGGCAUACAUAAGGAUAUACAAUUUCUGCUUGAAAAAGGUGAAAUGAUAGCUGAAGACCCUAAUACUUAUGAGUAUGAAAAUUGUAACUAUGAAUAUAAGGACAUUGAUGAUAUUUUAGAAGAUGAGGGUAACAAAAUCAAAGAUGAUGAACUACUGGAUCCAUCAAAGGAAUGUGAAAAAGAAGCAUUCAAUUAUAUCACUGGAUUUUUGGCAAAUAAACUUCAUGAAGAAUUUCCAAGUAUCGGUACAAAGACAAAAUAUUUAGAUUCUGAUCAACUCGUACAAACAAGUCCAUGAAUUGUUUCUAGAUCUCAAGGAGAUCUCAUGCAGCCCUCUGGAGAAUUCUUGCAAUUUUGUAAAGAAAUAGAGUUACUUUUUAAAAUUUCAUAAUCAUAGAGUUGACUGUGAUCCUUUUGUAAUAAAAAGACUGACUGACUUAUGUUCUACAAAAUACCCCCACCCAAAAUGUGGAAAUCAUCAAGAAAUUUGUCAGAACAAGAACAUUUCAUCGUAUAAAGUACUUAAAGUUUCUCAAAAAAACUAAAGACUGCAAGAUUAAAGCAAGAAACACAAGGAAAUUUACUCAUUACUACUAAGUCAGACUCAUAUAUCAUUUAAUUAACUCUCCUCUCAGCACAUAACUAAGCCUGACAAGUUAUUUAUUGUAUGUAAUUGUCCAUACUAUUAUACCAUUAUAUGUCCACUAUUUUGUUGUAAUUCUGAUGCUUUCAAUAAAGUAAUGAACAGUGUUAAA